GAUUUACAAAAAGGGAAGAGGAAGUCGCAACCCUCGUAUUUAUACAGGUGCAGCCGGGGGACACACGAAGAAGAAAUUAAAUAAAAAUACAGAAGAAGGGGCUGGAGGACCAAAGCAGCACAGCAAAUCAAAAGCCAGAGGCUCACAGAUGUGUGUGUCAGUACGAUGGCUGCUCCUGGUCCUCAUCACUCCAGGUGUCGGACCCGUCUGUCCCAAAGUACCGGUCCCCAAAGUCCCCUGAAAACACACAACAGUGGACUACUGUGUAUCAGUGGGUUAGGGCCUGAAGGAAAUAAUGAAAAAUACACAGCAUGAAUACAAAGCAAAACUAAAUGGCUGCAAAGCGGUGGUGAUGAUUUUGACCUUUGGGAAGGCGUAGGCCACAGACUGCACCCCGAGCUCUGCCAUCAACAGCGACACCAGCACGAUCUUAUCCUCCUGCACCUCGUGAUCCUGUUCAGCCACACACAUCACAGCAACAGUCAAUGCCUGAUCAUCAUCAGAAGGAUAAUUAGACUCGUACUGCCAUCAUGGCAGCAGCGCCAGUGGAGACUGUGCUGUCCAUUAGGAUGACAUGAUCUUCACUGAUGUCUUUGGGCAGACGCAGGUUGGUCUGGAUGAGGAUCUUGCCGAUGCGGACAUCCUUGCACACAGCCCUCAGGGCGGGCUCCAUGGUCUCUCCUGCCCGCAGGACCGACACACCAGUGAUCUGUAGAGACGAGGCAGUGGAGCAAGCGUGAUGACAGAAACCCUGCGGACACACUCGACUGGAAGUUAACAAGACCUUGUAAAACAAGAGCAUCACUCACCCCUUUCCCAUUGUAACUGCGGCCCUCGUACUCAUGGCCCUGUGGAGUCUUAACUACACACGGCUGUUAGAAGAUACAGAAAAAAAAGUUCUAUAUUUUAUUACAACUCCCAUAGAUGCAGAUACAAGAAAAGUGUCAAUAUAUCGAUGUAUCUAUGCAUGUUUUUCUAUGUAUAUAUAGAACUUUGUCUUGUGAAUGUGUGAGGCAUUUCUGAAGUAUAUACACUACGUACAGUUUGUACUGUAUUACUGCGACAAAAUUCACUUCCAGCAGUUUUGGUUGAUGUCAGUAUGGUAUUAAAAUGACCUUGUAGAGAA